UGGCUACAGACAAUGUUAUUGUGAGAAAAGCUGGAAACAAAGAGGGAACCGCUGGUCCAAUCCCACGGUCAAAUACCUGAUAUUGUGAUGCAAGAAACAGAAGGUGGACAAAUGUACAUUGCUUUAUCAGCGAUGAGAAGUAGCAGCAGCCCCUAGCAAUGGGUGAUGUUUUAGCGUAUGAAGCUGAGUUACUUGGACUAGUGAAAGAGUAUCUGGAUUUUGCUGGAUUUCAAGAAACGGUAAAAGAACUUAAAAAGGAAUGUAAAAUGAAAGGGAAGCCACUAUCUAAACCAGCAGAUGUUUCCUCAGAAGAUUCAUUGCAUGUUCAGGAAGAGAUGCUUUCAGCAUUUGAGGAUGGUGAUCAGAAAGUUUUCUUCCAGCUCUGGGAGGAGCAUAUUUUGUCUUCAGUCCAUGACAGUGAUCCAGUUGCUCAGAACCUGGAGUUCUAUCUCCACAUCUACUUUGCCACCUUCCUCUUGAAACAAACAAUGGGAAAGCCAGACAAAUCUGAACUUGAGGAAAGGAUUUCUUAUUUUAAGGCAUACCUGGAAACAAAAGGAGCUGCACUGAGCCAGACUGCAGAGUUUCUUCCCUUCUAUGCUUUGCCUUUUGUUCCGAACCCCAUGGUACAUCCUUCAUUUAAAGAACUUUUCCAGGAUUCUUGGACAUCGGAUUUAAGGACAAGAUUGGAAAAGUUCCUGUCUCUGACUCUUAAAGCCAGACAGACUCCUCGGCUUCUCACUAUAUUUAAGGAGAGUGGACAGUGCAACAAAGAAAUGAUGCAGCAUCUUCAUCAACAGUUAGUGAAAUGUGAGCACAGGUAUAUGACCAACCUGAAACAAUUUUACGAAUUGCAGAUGAGCCACCAUAAUCUCCUUGGAGUCACUGCAGAGCUGGUGGAUUCUUUGGAGGCCACAAUCACUGGCAAGAUGAUUACACCAGAGUAUCUUCAAGGUGUUUAUGCUUGCUUAUUUAGCAAUCAUUUGAGACAAGCUGUAGCACACAACAUUGACUUCACAAGGCCUGGAACUGGAUAUUACUCUAUGAGCCCUUGUGAUGACGGAUAUGCUUCCACAUUGUUAAGAGCAUCUUUAGCCUCCAUGAAGGUACAGGAUGUGCCAUUGUUGCCCUCUUUGGAUUAUGAGAAGCUGAAGAAAGAUCUGAUUACAGGAAGUGAUCGUCUCAAGGCCCUCUUGCUGCAGGCUCUGCGCUGGCGCUUGACAACAUCAUAUCCUGGAGAACAGAGAGACACUAUCAUGCAAGCCUACAUCAGUAAUGACCUCCUAGAUUGCCACAGCAACUGUCAGAGAAGUGUCCUCCAAUUAUUAUAUUCUAAGAGUGAGGUAGUCAGACAGUAUAUGGCAAGGCUCAUCAAUGCUUUUGCUUCACUGACAGAAGGUCGUGCCUACCUUUCUCAGAACCCAACAUUGCUGCAAAUGCUGGAGGACAGACUGAAAGCUGAAGACAAGGAUUCCCUUACAUGGGAGAAUGUUCUGGGUGCUCUGCAGAAAUUCAGCCUCAGGCGUACACUGCAGUCGGCAAUGAUCAAAGAUGGGCUCAUUUUCUGGCUGGUUGAUGUUCUAAUAGACCCAGAUUGUCUGUCUGAUUACAACCUGGAGUACUGUGCUGCCUUGCUCAUGAAUCUUUGUCUGCGGAGUGCAGGGAAGAAAAUAUGUGCAAGUAUCCCAAAUCACAUGCUCAGAGUUCUUUCAAGUCUUCUUGACCAUGAGAAUCCUAAGGUCCAGUCAUAUGUGAAUGGAGCACUGUACAGUAUUCUGGCCAUCCCUUCUGUCCGAGAAGAAGCCAAAGAAAUGGGAAUGGAAGAAAUUCUGCGCUGCUUUAUCAAGGAAAGAAAUGAAGAGAUGGUUCGACAGAUUGAAUUUGUAAUCAAGCAACUCAAUUCAGAAGAGCCAUUCAAUGAUAAUAUUGUUUCUGAUGAUGAUGACGACAAAGAGGAAUAUGAGGAAGAGGACAGUAACAUCCUGGAGCCUGAUCUGGACAAAGAUGAAGUUUUGCUGCCUCAGCUGGGGGAGCUUGCAGGAGAGAAGCUGCUAACAACCGAGUACUUGGGAAUAAUGACUCACACUCCAAAAACUAAGAAGAAGCAAUUUCCUGGUGUCCAUCAGAGUACAGGUGUGCCUCUCCAGAGACCUGUGACACCAGGUUAUCACAGAGCUGCAUGUCUAAUGCCAGAAAACAGUUCCUGUCACAAUAGGCAUGAGAAGCUGCAGUCUCCACCGAGUGGUCCUUCUUCCAUUUGUGGUGGGAGCCAGUCCAGCAUUUCUGACUUCUGCAUUUCCCCCUCAUCAGUUGAAAUGAAGUCAUCUGAAGUAUUUGCAUCAGGCCAUAGAAUGGACCAACACAUCCCAGCUGGUGAUACCUUGUCUUCUCGAUCUGCUGACUUCACUGAGGACAAAGUAAAUGGUCAAUCACAUAGGGAGUUUGCUUUAGCCUUCACCAGCAAACCCAAGAUCCCUCGCACUCCUGACGGGCAGAGCACCAGCCCUAGAAAGGGAAAGGUCCCAGCCAUUGCCCCCCAGUUCUCCCAGUCUGGACCCCAACAAACAAGCCAUCCAAGAUCAUCAGCAUCAUCCACAAGGAGUAGACAGAACACUUGUUCAUCCCACUGUGUAACUUGAAGUCGGAUCCCUGGGUGUGUCUACAGUGCAGCUGAAUGUAGAGCAGAUGUCAGGCAGCUCAGGAGAUGGCUCAGGGCAGCUUGGCAGCCAGUCCUACAGGAAGUGAGAACAGUUCCUUUCCUCGAGAAUCACCUGUCACAUUGUCGAAGGACAGAGCCAGCUUCCUGUAAUGAGCUUUACUGGUGACCUACAGAGGAGAGUGAGGUUGUUGACACUGCAGGCCUUGCACAGGGAUUCAGGAUUAUCUGAUGGGAUGUGUCUGUGGUCUCUAGAGCUGGCUAAGACAAGGGCCUUGUUAUUAGAAUUCGAGGUCUCAGCAGCAGCCCAGGACUGACAUGGGAGAUGGAUAUUUUCUGAUAGUUUACUCUAAAGUGACAUUGAGAAGAAACUCUUUGAGAAUAAACUCCUUGCCUUCUGUGUCAGAGGAAAUGGCCUUUGGAAACAGAAUGUAGGCUCAGCCCAGGAGUCUUACCAAGCAACUGUAUUCUUUAUGUAUUGCUUGCUGAAGCAGCCUGCCAAUUGCUUUUUGUAAAACUUUGCCUGUCUGGCCGGAUUGGGAGGUAUCUGUGUUCAAAGGAUCUGCGUGAAGAGGGGCAGUGUCUGCCACACGUGCAGAGCCUUCCUGCCCAGAGCAGUCCUCUGUGGGGCAAGAUCUGCAUGGCCUCCAGACCCUGAAGAGGAAAAUACCUAUUUUAUCAACUUCUGGUUGACCUGUAGUAGAUGAAAAAUGCUGUUACAGUGUCCAGUGCAGCAUCCAUGCUCAUCUCUGAGGUCUUUCUCAGCAGCAAUUGCUCCUAUUCCUUCUUUUUGCUUUUUUUUUUUCAUAAUUCUACUGUUUAACAUUUGUGGAAUGAAAAAUCUAUUUUUUUCCCCUGGAAUGAAGAGCUUUGCUUCUUCAUUCAUAGAAGAAACCAUGAGAAUGUGAACAGAUCAGAAGCAACUUUCUCUUUACAUGUAACUGCUCCAUCUUCUUUAGUCUUUGUUACUUUUUUUAUGUUCUUCACUUCAGAGCAAUGACUGUGUAUGUCUUUAUGGAAUUUGUGUUGGUCUUUGGUGCAUACGAAGUGCUGGCUAGACAAGAGAGGUCAGGAAUCCUUCCACUAAAUAAAAAAGCAGCAUUUCAUUCUGCCAGUGAAUUACAAA